UGCCAGACUCCUACGGGAGGCAGCAGUGGGGAAUAUUGCACAAUGGGGGAAACCCUGAUGCAGCAACGCCGCGUGAGUGAAGAAGUAUUUCGGUAUGUAAAGCUCUAUCAGCAGGGAAGAAGAAAGACGGUACCUGACUAAGAAGCCCCGGCUAACUACGUGCCAGCAGCCGCGGUAAUACGUAGGGGGCAAGCGUUAUCCGGAUUUACUGGGUGUAAAGGGGGCGUAGACGGCAGAGCAAGUCUGAAGUGAAAGCCCGUGGGUCAACCGCGGAACUGCUUUGGAAACGGUGAAGCUGGAGUACUGGAGAGGGAAGCGGAAUUCCUAGUGGAGCGGGGAAAUGCGUAGAGAUUAGGAGGAACACCAGGGGCG
rnacentral:rRNA from 1 species